rnacentral:rRNA from 1 species
CAUCACUACGCUAGAUGCAUAUCAAUAAGCGGAGGAAAAGAAACUAACAAGGAUUCCCUUAGUAACGGCGAGUGAAGCGGGAAGAGCUCAAAUUUGAAAUCUUCAAGGUUCUACCUUGACGAAUUGUAGUUUAUAGAAGUGUUUUCUGUUAGUAGAGUUGGCUAAAAGUUCUUUGGAAUAGGACAUCAUAGAGGGUGAGAAUCCCGUAUUUGACCAUUAUUUCCAGCUGUGUGAUACACUUUCAAAGAGUCGGAUUGUUUGGGAAUGCAGUCCAAAAUGGGUGGUAAAUUUCAUCUAAAGCUAAAUAUUGGCGAGAGACCGAUAGCGAACAAGUACCGUGAGGGAAAGAUGAAAAGAACUUUGAAAAGAGAGUUAAACAGUACGUGAAAUUGUCAAAAGGGAAGCGUUUGACACCAGUGUUGUUUUCUCGAAAAUCAAUUAAAAAUGCCUGGGAUUUUGUGUUGUAUUGACCUUAUAAGCUUUCUGCACUCUUUUCUUAUCUUUUUUAAUGCACUUUUCGUUUAACAAGUCAACAUCAAUUUCUUUUGUUGUAAAAGAGUCAUUGGUAGGUGGCUUUUCUUUCGGAGAAAGUGUUUAUAGCCUUGUGCUUCUGCAAUCGGAGAGAUUGAGGUCUGCAGCGUAGAUCCUUCGGGGUUAGAUACGUUUGUGCUAAGUUAUAGUUUUUCAUAGACAACAUGUUGACUAUGAUUAGUCAUGUAGCUUACUCGCUUAUGCUAUUUUACCUACGCUUAGGAUGUUGACACACGCGCGUGCUC